rnacentral:tRNA from 1 species
UCCCUGGUGGCUCAGUGGUAAAGAAUCUGCCUGUAAUGUAGGAGACUCAGGUUCAACCCCUGGGUUGGGAA